CUUUACCCCUGUCUGCAAAGCAAGGCCCUGGGCUGGCACUCAUUGGCUGCCCCCUCCAAAUCUGGGCUACAAGGGCUGAAAGAUAACUGAGCCCCAGGAGUCAAGAAGGGCGUCUCAGCAUGGUUACUGGUAAGGGAGUAUCCUAGCCUCUGACCUUUCACCAAGCUCUUAGUUGGACACCAUUCAGGAAGCCACUUAUCUUGCCAAGAAAAUGUUGAAAACAUCCUUCCCUUGACUGCUGUAAACCCACAGAGCAAGCACUGGAGUCCCGGAAUAGGCGGGGAGAACGGAGCCUCCAGCCACCGACCGGCAGCCUCCUGGCCAGGCAGGUCUGAGCUAUCACAUUUGGGGGCUCGUCCAGGAUGGGAGCAAGACCCCAGACCAUUUCUGAACAUUUGAAACCACCCUUAUGCCUGACGAUGACCCUGAGGAACAAAGGACACCUCUCCAUGAGUGUGCUGACAUCCUUGAACUGCAGCAGAACCUAUGGGCUGAUCUUACCGACAGCCUUUGGAAAUGCUGACAACUAUUUCAUCGAUGGAAGCAGCUUCAUCCAGAAUGGCAAACGAGUGGCCA
rnacentral:lncRNA from 1 species